rnacentral:rRNA from 1 species
AAUAUUGGACAAUGGGCGAAAGCCUUAUCCAGCCAUGCCGCGUGUGUGAAGAAGGUCUUCGGUUUGUAAAUCACUUUAAUUUGGGAGGAAGGGCAGUAAGUUAUUACUUUUCUGUUUUGACGUUACCGACAGAAUAAGCACCGGCUAACUUCGUGCUAGCAGCCGCGGUAAUACGAAUGGUGCAAUCGUGAAUCGGAAUUACUGGGCGUAAAGCGCGCAGAGGUUAUUUAUUAAUUUGGAAGUGAAAGCCCCGGGCUCAACCUGGGAACUGCUUUCAAAACUGGCAAGCUAGAGUAUGGCAGAGGGUGGUGGAAUUUCCUGUGUAGCGGUGAAAUGCGUAGAUAUAGGAAGGAAAACCAGUGGCGAAGGCGACCACCUGGGCUAAUACUGACACUGAGGUGCGAAAGCGUGGGGAGCAAACAGG